rnacentral:lncRNA from 1 species
CGAAAUUUCGGCAGCAUCUUUCUUUAUAAUUAUCUUUAUAUUACACUAAAAAAUAUCUUCAUGAUAAGUAAAUUAAUUUUCUUGAAAAGAAACUUGAAGCUACAUACCUUGUAGAACAUGUUGCUUUAACUCCGACAGAAUCUCAACUUAAUUUCUAAGCUUUUUCUAAUAUCAGAAAUACUACUCAUAUAACUUAAAAAUCAUCCUUAAAGUUUCAAGAGAAAUGAAAUUAAAAUGAAAGAGAAAACACACUUAAAGCCCGUGGGUUCUCCCUUGGUUGGCUGUGAGAUUUUGCUCUCCUUUUCUUUUGUUUCUUCAUUUUUCUCAUUUCCUUCUUCCUUCCUCUCUCUUCCUCUCACAAUUUGGGUAAAGGUUUCUCAAGGAAAAACCCCCAAAUUCCAUCAAUUUCCCUCACUUUUAUUUGGUUUCUUCCAUUUUCCUCUCUUUUUUCCUCUUCUCUUUCUCUCUUUAACCUUGCUUUCUC